rnacentral:rRNA from 1 species
UGGGAAUUUGGACAAUGGGCGAAAGCCUGAUCCAGCAAUGCCGCGUGUGUGAAGAAGGCCUUCGGGUUGUAAAGCACUUUUGUCCGGAAAGAAAUCCUUGGCUCUAAUACAGUCGGGGGAUGACGGUACCGGAAGAAUAAGCACCGGCUAACUACGUGCCAGCAGCCGCGGUAAUACGUAGGGUGCAAGCGUUAAUCGGAAUUACUGGGCGUAAAGCGUGCGCAGGCGGUUUGCUAAGACCGAUGUGAAAUCCCCGGGCUCAACCUGGGAACUGCAUUGGUGACUGGCAGGCUAGAGUAUGGCAGAGGGGGGUAGAAUUCCACGUGUAGCAGUGAAAUGCGUAGAGAUGUGGAGGAAUACCGAUGGCGAAGGCAGCCCCCUGGGCAAUACUGACGCUCAUGCACGAAAGCGUGGGAAGCAAACAGGAUUAGAUACCCUGGUAGUCCACGCCCUAAAACGAUGUCAACUAGUUGUUGGGGAUUCAUUUCCUUAGUAACGUAGCUAACGCGUGAAGUUGACCGCCUGGGGAGUACGGUCGCAAGAUUAAAAACUCAAAGGAAUUGACGGGGUCAUAGCUGUUUCCU